rnacentral:tmRNA from 1 species
GGGGGCGACUGGUUUCGACAGGGUGGGCUUGAGAUGGGCAGCAGGCCGUGGUCUCCUCGCCACGUUAAACAGGGGAACCGUCAAAUUGAAUUGACGACACUUCUUAUGAGCCUCUGGCUCUUGCUGCUUAGCAAUUAGCUAGCAGCCGUUGAACCGGCGGAUGCUUCCGCUGCCGGGGAUACGUCACUCUAGGAAGCUGCACGCGCGAACGUGGUCGGUAUGUCGCGCGCCAAGAUCGAACCGGCUGGGACGCCGAGCGCGGGUAGCCAGGUGCGAAGCGUCCGAGACCCAACUGGCGACUGAGCCUGGAGACACCUGUCAGGAGUCUGUCUUGGACCGGAGUUCGAUUCUCCGCGCCUCCACCA